GAUGAACGCUGGCGGCGUGCUUAACACAUGCAAGUCGAACGGAAAGGCCCUGCUUUUGUGGGGUGCUCGAGUGGCGAACGGGUGAGUAACACGUGAGUAACCUGCCCUUGACUUUGGGAUAACUUCAGGAAACUGGGGCUAAUACCGGAUAGGAGCUCCUGCUGCAUGGUGGGGGUUGGAAAGUUUCGGCGGUUGGGGAUGGACUCGCGGCUUAUCAGCUUGUUGGUGGGGUAGUGGCUUACCAAGGCUUUGACGGGUAGCCAGCCUGAGAGGGUGACCGGCCACAUUGGGACUGAGAUACGGCCCAGACUCCUACGGGAGGCAGCAGUGGGGAAUAUUGCACAAUGGGCGGAAGCCUGAUGCAGCAACGCCGCGUGCGGGAUGACGGCCUUCGGGUUGUAAACCGCUUUCGCCUGUGACGAAGCGUGAGUGACGGUAAUGGGUAAAGAAGCACCGGCUAACUACGU
rnacentral:rRNA from 1 species